rnacentral:rRNA from 1 species
UUAAGCGACUAAGCGUACACGGUGGAUGCCCUGGCAGUCAGAGGCGAUGAAGGACGUGCUAAUCUGCGAAAAGCGUCGGUAAGGUGAUAUGAACCGUUACAGCCGGCGAUGUCCGAAUGGGGAAACCCAGUGUGAUUCGUCACACUAUCGUUAACUGAAUACAUAGGUUAACGAGGCGAACCGGGGGAACUGAAACAUCUAAGUACCCCGAGGAAAAGAAAUCAACCGAGAUUCCCCCAGUAGCGGCGAGCGAACGGGGAGCAGCCCAGAGUCUGAAUCAGCUUGUGUGUUAGUGGAACGGUCUGGAAAGUCCGACGGUACAGGGUGAUAGUCCCGUACACCAAAAUGCACAGGCUGUGAACUCGAAGAGUAGGGCGGGACACGUGGUAUCCUGUCUGAAUAUGGGGGGACCAUCCUCCAAGGCUAAAUACUCCUGACUGACCGAUAGUGAACCAGUACCGUGAGGGAAAGGCGAAAAGAACCCCGGCGAGGGGAGUGAAAAAGAACCUGAAACCGUGUACGUACAAGCAGUGGGAGCACCUUCGGGUGUGACUGCGUACCUUUUGUAUAAUGGGUCAGCGACUUAUAUUCUGUAGCAAGGUUAACCGUAUAGGGGAGCCGCAGGGAAACCGAGUCUUAACUGGGCGUUAAGUUGCAGGGUAUAGACCCGAAACCCGGUGAUCUAGCCAUGGGCAGGUUGAAGGUUGGGUAACACUAACUGGAGGACCGAACCGACUAAUGUUGAAAAAUUAGCGGAUGACUUGUGGCUGGGGGUGAAAGGCCAAUCAAACCGGGAGAUAGCUGGUUCUCCCCGAAAGCUAUUUAGGUAGCGCCUCGUGAAUUCAUCUUCGGGGGUAGAGCACUGUUUCGGCUAGGGGGUCAUCCCGACUUACCAACCUGAUGCAAACUACGAAUACCGAAGAAUGUUAUCACGGGAGACACACGGCGGGUGCUAACGUCCGUCGUGAAGAGGGAAACAACCCAGACCGCCAGCUAAGGUCCCAAAGUCAUGGUUAAGUGGGAAACGAUGUGGGAAGGCACAGACAGCCAGGAUGUUGGCUUAGAAGCAGCCAUCAUUUAAAGAAAGCGUAAUAGCUCACUGGUCGAGUCGGCCUGCGCGGAAGAUGUAACGGGGCUAAACCAUGCACCGAAGCUGCGGCAGCGACACUAUGUGUUGUUGGGUAGGGGAGCGUUCUGUAAGCCUGCGAAGGUGACCUGUGAGGGUUGCUGGAGGUAUCAGAAGUGCGAAUGCUGACAUAAGUAACGAUAAAGCGGGUGAAAAGCCCGCUCGCCGGAAGACCAAGGGUUCCUGUCCAACGUUAAUCGGGGCAGGGUGAGUCGACCCCUAAGGCGAGGCCGAAAGGCGUAGUCGAUGGGAAACAGGUUAAUAUUCCUGUACUUGGUGUUACUGCGAAGGGGGGACGGAGAAGGCUAUGUUAGCCGGGCGACGGUUGUCCCGGUUUAAGCAUGUAGGCUGAUUAUCCAGGCAAAUCCGGAUAAUCAAGGCUGAGGUGUGAUGACGAGGCACUACGGUGCUGAAGUAACAAAUGCCCUGCUUCCAGGAAAAGCCUCUAAGCAUCAGGUAACAUCAAAUCGUACCCCAAACCGACACAGGUGGUCAGGUAGAGAAUACCAAGGCGCUUGAGAGAACUCGGGUGAAGGAACUAGGCAAAAUGGUGCCGUAACUUCGGGAGAAGGCACGCUGGUGUGUAGGUGAAGUCCCUGCGGAUGGAGCUGAGACCAGUCGAAGAUACCAGCUGGCUGCAACUGUUUAUUAAAAACACAGCACUGUGCAAACACGAAAGUGGACGUAUACGGUGUGACGCCUGCCCGGUGCCGGAAGGUUAAUUGAUGGGGUUAUCCGUAAGGAGAAGCUCUUGAUCGAAGCCCCGGUAAACGGCGGCCGUAACUAUAACGGUCCUAAGGUAGCGAAAUUCCUUGUCGGGUAAGUUCCGACCUGCACGAAUGGCGUAAUGAUGGCCAGGCUGUCUCCACCCGAGACUCAGUGAAAUUGAACUCGCUGUGAAGAUGCAGUGUACCCGCGGCAAGACGGAAAGACCCCGUGAACCUUUACUAUAGCUUGACACUGAACAUUGAGCCUUGAUGUGUAGGAUAGGUGGGAGGCUUUGAAGCGUGGACGCCAGUCUGCGUGGAGCCAACCUUGAAAUACCACCCUUUAAUGUUUGAUGUUCUAACGUUGGCCCCUUACCGGGGUUGCGGACAGUGUCUGGUGGGUAGUUUGACUGGGGCGGUCUCCUCCCAAAGCGUAACGGAGGAGCACGAAGGUUAGCUAAUCCUGGUCGGACAUCAGGAGGUUAGUGCAAUGGCAUAAGCUAGCUUGACUGCGAGCGUGACGGCGCGAGCAGGUGCGAAAGCAGGUCAUAGUGAUCCGGUGGUUCUGAAUGGAAGGGCCAUCGCUCAACGGAUAAAAGGUACUCCGGGGAUAACAGGCUGAUACCGCCCAAGAGUUCAUAUCGACGGCGGUGUUUGGCACCUCGAUGUCGGCUCAUCACAUCCUGGGGCUGAAGUAGGUCCCAAGGGUAUGGCUGUUCGCCAUUUAAAGUGGUACGCGAGCUGGGUUUAGAACGUCGUGAGACAGUUCGGUCCCUAUCUGCCGUGGGCGCUGGAGAAUUGAGGGGGGCUGCUCCUAGUACGAGAGGACCGGAGUGGACGCAUCACUGGUGUUCGGGUUGUCAUGCCAAUGGCACUGCCCGGUAGCUAAAUGCGGAAGAGAUAAGUGCUGAAAGCAUCUAAGCACGAAACUUGCCCCGAGAUGAGUUCUCCCUGAGACUUUAAGUCUCCUGAAGGAACGUUAAAGACGAUGACGUUGAUAGGCCGGGUGUGUAAGCGCAGCGAUGCGUUGAGCUAACCGGUACUAAUGAACCGUGAGGCUUAACCUU